rnacentral:rRNA from 1 species
ACUCAAAUGAAUUGACGGGGGCCCGCACAAGCGGUGGAGUAUGUGGUUUAAUUCGACGCAACGCGAAGAACCUUACCUGGGCUCGAACGGCUAGUGACAGGGAGCGAAAGCUUCUUUUCCCGCAAGGGACACUAGUCGAGGUGCUGCAUGGCUGUCGUCAGCUCGUGUCGUGAGAUGUUGGGUUAAGUCCCGCAACGAGCGCAACCCUUGCCAUUAGUUGCCACCAAGUUAAGUUGAGCACUCUAAUGGGACUGCCGGUGAAAAACCGGAGGAAGGUGGGGAUGACGUCAAGUCCUCAUGGCCUUUAUGUCCAGGGCUACACACGUACUACAAUGGGCGGCACAAUGAGUUGCAAACCCGCGAGGGGGAGCCAAUCUCAAAAAACCGUUCUCAGUUCGGAUUGCAGUCUGCAACUCGACUGCAUGAAGCUGGAAUCGCUAGUAAUCGCUGAUCAGCAAGCAGCGGUGAAUACGUUCCCGGGCCUUGUACACACCGCCCGU